rnacentral:rRNA from 1 species
GUCUUAGUUCGUGGAGUGAUCUGUCUGCUUAAUUGCGUUUCACUAAGGGCCCAUAAAUUCAAGGUAUGUUAGCUAUCGUUUCUCAAUUGACCCCUUGUCUUCGAUAAGCGCGUGUCUUUUAGAGUUUAAACAUUGCGCAUGCUGUUGGGUCCUGAAAGCAACGAACGUGACCGCAACGUCUUAUUGCCUUUAUCUUGUUAUAUUCUAAUUUAAUUAGAAAUAACUAACAGAGGCUAAUUUAAAAUUAGACGGACCGCUGUACUUUUCUUAAACCAGAGGAAGGUUGCGGCAAUAACAGGUCUGUGAUGCCCUUAGAUGUUCCGGGCUGCACACGUGCUACAAUGAUCAGUACAGUGAGCAUCUCAAUAUUAUACACCGUAUUAAGCGCUUAGUUGCGAUUAUUGGCUCAUUAUUGGGUCUUUUAAUUGUAUUUCUAAUGCGCGCGGUAAAGCCUGCUUCGAGAGUAAGUGGGUAAUCCAUUGGAAGUAAUGAUUUCUCUUUUUAUAGCACACCUAUAUACGGCAUUCAUUCCCGGGACGACUAGUUUCGUCUUUUUUGUGCGAAUGUAAUGUAUUCUUUAUCCGUAUGUGCGAUUGUCAAUU